rnacentral:lncRNA from 10 species
GCGACGCCCCAACCCGCCGCUCCGCCGCGGUGGUACGCUCCAGGCCGCCAGGCCGCGAGGCCCACCGAGCGGACGCCAGUGGAUGACCCGCGGCGGGGGAGGAGGAGAUACCAUCAGCAAAAUGCCAGACGUCAAGGAGAGUGUGCCCCCGAAAUAUCCUGGCGACUCAGAGGGCAGGUCCUGUAAGCCCGAAACCUCAGGACCCCCCCAGGAAGACAAGAGCGGCUCCGAGGACCCCCCUCCCUAGAACGUAACUAGUCAUCAAACUGAGGAGCUGUCCGUGUGCAACAACUCAAGAUAAAAUUCUUGACUAUUGAAAUGCGAAAAAUUAGAUUGAGGCUUUGCGGCUGAAUUAGAUUGGUUUUUCUUGUGGCCACAUGAGGUCGCUGCUGGUUAACUGAAUGGCACCAAAAGGCAUAUUGGGGUCAUUUCCAACAGCUAUGAACCUGAGCUUCAACAAUGAUCAACUCGUGGCCAAUCUUUGUUCAUCUACAUCUCCUCCACAUCUUGGAGCCAAAUAAUUUUCUGUGAAAAAUCAUGAUGCUGCAUCAAAAGAGA